AGACUGCUUAAGGAGGACUGACUAUGGUUGAGGAGGGUGUGUCUGCCCUUAUUUGAGGGCUAAGACACAGACAUGUGGCUAGAAGGGAAGGGAAGAUGAAAAGGGUCUUUUGUAUCUGCAGGUAGCGUGGACAGAUGAGAGGAAACUUCAGUCCUAAGGGCAGUCUUGUAUAUUGGGUCUCAGGGAGCAAAAAUGAGAGAAGGUCUUGCAGCAUUCUGCAUGAUUCCAUGUAUUAACAUCUUAAUACGAUGGCAUCAGGUUCCCAGGGAUCAUUUAUUUACUUAAAUUUUUGUUGUCCAACUGUGAAAGACUGGAUAAAAAUACUCUGUGGGUGGGCAGGGCAGUCAGCAAAUAUUCAUUUAGAAGUACACAUUUACAUUCUUGUCUGUGUCAUAUUUUUUUAUGUACACAUGCAUUGAAUCUUUUAGAAUUUAGUCACCUAUGAUGACGUGCAUGUGAACUUCACUCAGGAAGAGGGGGCUUUGCUUGAGACUUCUCAGAAGAAUCUCUACAAAGAUGUGAUGCUAGAGACCUAUAGGAAUCUCUCAGCUAUAGGGUACAUUUGGGAAGAACAUACAAUUGAAGACCAUUUUCAAACUUCUAGAAGUCAUGGAAGACUCCAAAGUACUUGUAUGCUGAGCUAAGAACUUAAACAGGUGGCAUCCUAUAGUAGAGCAGAGUAACCAACUUCUGUUGUAAUGCCUUCUGUAGACAUCACACCUACAGGAUGGAAUGCAAUAUUAAAAACUAAUUGGGGAUUCUCAAAUGAAAAACAAAUGCUAAGAUGUGAAAUUAAGGGAUGAGGAAAAUUGGUUUCUUAGUGGAUUCACUUGUUUUGCUGAGCCAUUUGAGUCCUCACUAGCUGUGCAGGUUCACAACUAAAACAAAAGUUGAGCUAAAAUGGUAUGCAUAAUUCUUGGAUUUGUGGAAUGAGCAGAAAAAUGUCCCAAGCUGAUCCAGACAUCCUUGUUGGUCUGGAUUUUCCAUGAGCCCUCUUCCACCAUGAGCCCUUCUAAAAGAUUUCUGUCUGCCUCAAAUAGUUUAAGCUUGCAGGUGCAGUACAAAGAGACAGGCUGCUCAGAAAGCAACAACAGAGGUAGAUGGUAGAGGCUGCCCAGAGCUAUAAUCAGAAAAAAAGAAUAGAGAGAAAUCGAUGAGAUUUGUUUUAACUUCUUUUAAGGAAAAAUGAGCAGGUGGUGAUUGUGUAAGAGUGUUUGAGGCAAUCUCUGUGAAGGGCCCUAAUGUCUGCAGAGGAUUCUCCACAUGGCUGGCACUCUAGCACACCCAGGUCCUUGAGAUCACUGGUAAGUGGAAUGCAAUAUAAGUUCCAAAAAAUACAGAGGGUCUUGUAAUAGUAGGAACAGGGACAAAGGACAGCAGCGUGACCAGCGACUGAGGUUAACUUCUGGUUGGAGCCACCCUCUCCCACCCCCAUGCAAUCUUUGGCCAGAUCUCAGCAGAGGGCCCAAAGGUCCCCAGAGGACUCUUCAUGCUGAAGGCCCCCUAGCACACUCUGGUCCUUGAGAUCACUGGUGAGUGGAAUGCAACAUCACUUCCAAAAAAUCCAGAGGGUCUUGUGCUAGCAGCAACAGGGUCAAAGGACAAAGGCAGGCCCUAGCACAUCCAGAAUCUUGGGAUCACUGAGAACUGUUUAUGCAGGAGAGUAAGUGGGCAGCAGAAGUAACUAAGCUUCUUGAACAAGGUCCCUACAGGCCUUCAUCCUCAGCCAGAAGACAGACCUAACACCCAGAACCCUAGACACUUUCCCUGCGAGAGGGGAGUCGGCCUCCAGGGAGGGCUCUGACCCCAGGAAUCAGGAGGUGGAUCUGAACUCCAGACUUCUGUGCACCUUCUCUGUUGGCACUUUCUCUUUAUGUUACCUAGGUCACAUUAUAUUUAGUGGAUAGGAUUAUAGACAAUUAAGACUGUAGUAAGAUUAAGGGAGAGUUUCCCUUAGAAUUUAAGACAUAUUUCAAACAACCAGAAUGGAGAUUUUUUUAAUUAUGUUUAUUCUUUAAUUAUACUCCAGUCAUUAUCACCCCCCCAUUCCAACCACUUACAGUUUCUCAUCCCAUAUCCCGACCCCUAUGUACAUCUCCAUGAGGGUGUCCUCACACCCACAACCAUUCAACAACAUCCUGCCAGGCCUCCCCAAUCCUUGGGACUUCAAGUCUCUCAAGGAUUAGGUGUGUCUUCCCUCCCUGAGUCCGGGCCAGGCAGUUCUCCUCUGUAUAUAUGUUGGGGACCUUGGACCAACAAGUGUAUGCUGCCUGGUUGCUGGCUCAGAGUCUGAGAGAUUUCCAAGGUCAAGGUUUCUUGAGACUGUUGGUCUUCUUGUUGGGUUGUAAGACUCCCGGGAGCCUUAGCUUACUGGGGACCUGUGAGUGAACCAUGUGGGGCUGGAAUCAAUGGAAAAA